GUGGCUCAGUGAUGGAGCAUUUUUGUAGCAUGCAUAAAGACCCUGGAUUUGAUUGCCAGCACUACAAAACAGAGGGUUUCCCAAUAGGCAUGCAUUGGUAAGUUAAAAUUGUUAUUAUAUAGUAAACCAUAAUAAGCAGAAUAGAAUUCUACCAGAUUAUUUCUAACGUCUUGAUUAUAAUUACAGUGUGUCAUUAUUUUAUAAUUUGUUUAAUUUUAUUUAUUUUGGAAGUAGGGCCUCAUGUGGCCUAGGCUGGCUCUGACAUCACUAUGUAGACAAUGGUGGUAUUGAAUAUUGAUUCUCCCUCCACUUCUCAAAUGCUGGGAUUACAGAUACACACCCGCAUUGCUGGAAUAUGUGGUGCUGGAAUCGAACCCAGGGUUCAUGCUUUUCUAGGCAAGUACUGUACCAACUCAGUUACAUCCACAGCCCAAUUUCAUGGUGUUAACUAACUUACCGUCUUUACAGAAACAGCUGCAACACCACUUAAUGGUUCACCUCGGACACCCAGAAGAGGUCAGAACAGGAGUGCUCGGAUAGCAAAACAACUAGAAAGUGAUACAAGAACUAUUGAAGUUCUCUGUAAGGAGCACGAGUGUAAUGUAGAUGAGGUGAAAAAUGUUUAUUUCAAAAAUUUUAUCCCUUUUAUAAAUUCACUUGGAAUUGUAUCAUCUAAUGGACUUCCAGAGCUUGAAAGUCUUUCUAAACGCUACGAAGAAGUUUAUCUUAAAAGCAAAGAUUUAGAUGCAAGACUAUUUUUGGAUCAUGACAAAACACUUCAGACUGAUACUAUAGACAGGUAUUGCAAUAACAUAUUUUAUACAUUAGCCUGCUUUUUAUUUGUAUUACUAAUUACUCAGAUAUGUUACAUAGAUUUUCAUUAACUUAGACAUCUUUGAACAGCUUUUGUAGCAGAUUAUUCUCAAAUGUCUUUUGUCUAGUGUAAAGGUAGUUCUUUAAACAUACAAAAAUAACAAAUAGAGAUU